GUGCUCGCUCUGGCAGCACAUACACUAAAACUGGAACAAUACAAAGAAGAUUAGCAUGGCCCCUGACCAAGGAUGACAUGCAAAUUCCUGAAGCAUUCCAUAUCUUU
rnacentral:snRNA from 1 species